CUACGGGCCGCUCCAGUCGCGAAACCUUUACAAUGCACGAAAGUGUGAUAAGGGAAUCCUAAGUGCUUAUCUUCGGAUAGGCUUUUGUUAAGAAUAAAAAUCUUGGCGAAUAAGUGGUGGGUAAGACUGGUGCCAGCCGCCGCGGUAACACCAGCGCCACGAGUGGUGAUCAUGAUUAUUGGGCCUAAAGCAUCCGUAGUUUGUUUGUUAAGUUUAUUGUGAAAUUGUUAAUGUUAACAUAACAACGUGCAAUAAAUACUGGUAAACUUGAGACCGGGAGGAGAUAGGAGUAUUUUUUGGGGAACGGUAAAAUGUUAUAAUCCUUAAAAGACUACCUGUGGCGAAGGCGCCUAUCUAGAACGGUUCUGACGAUGAGGGAUGAAAGCUUGGGUAGCAAAACGGAUUAGAUACCCGGGUAGUC
rnacentral:rRNA from 1 species